AAUACCAACAAAAAGAUGAUCCAGGAAAUUGGCACUUCGGCCUAAACCAAGUACAUUGUAAGGUAGCUGAAGAGCUAAGUGUGCUGACUGGCUGAGCUGUCCAGCUAGAUUUAUGAAGACAAACAAACAAACAAACAAACAAACAAAUCUUUGGAAACACUGCAUUCAUCAAGUCUUAAAGUCCUAAGAUGUUAGAUACAGGUAGUGUCUGUGAGUUUCAACCUGUACUGUAGCACACAGUUGCUUUGCAUGCUAUGUCGACAAUAGGCAAGUCCUGAACUACAACAACACAAAGGAAUAAACCAGCAGUGUUACUGAGCAGUGUGAGAGGUCAUGAAAGCAGAAGCAGUCCCAAUAGGGGAAUCAUAUGGAGAGUGAUGGGGAGUACAACAGGAAGCUGCUCAGCGUGCCUCUGUAUUUGUGAGCAUAUCCUCCUUGUAACACAGUGUUAGAUGUUCAUUGUUGCAUUGUCUCCAUGUGUUGAAGAAGCACACACAGUAGAGGGCCAGCCAGCAUAGCUAUGGUAGCUCCACGACAAAAGCCCAGAAGAAAUCAGAGCCUCUUUGUGAACAGUGUUUCUCUGCAUGGCCCUGGCUAACAUGGAGCUCACUAUGCAAACUAAGCUGAUCUGGAACUCACAGGGAUCCCCCUGCCUGCUUUUGCCCCCUGAAUACUGAGAUUAAAGGCAUGUGCCAUCAUACCCAGCAUAAUGAAUUCUUACAUGUUUAUAGUAAGCUAAAAAAUAAACUCAUUGUAGUACAUUUAAUUUACAUAAGAGCAUUAUAUACUACAAAACUGUCCACUAACAUGGUCACAGGUUCUUUAUGGUUAUCACAGCAAGCCUGUUUAGACUACUUCGUGGGUAAGACUCUAGGAUUUCCGAGGAAGGAUAUUGUAUGAAGAUGCAUUCUUCGCACAGGCAGCUGGAUCUACUGUAAUCUGCCACUGGAUGGACACUGCACACGUCCUUAGUCAUUUUCCUUUUUGUCCUAACCGACUUUCGUCAUAAUGUU